rnacentral:lncRNA from 1 species
AGAUCUGAUCCCAGCUCGAUCUUAUUCGAAAUUUAUAAUAUUUGAUUCAUAUUGAGUCACCUUGAUAGGACCUCUGAUGAUCUCGAUCAUGAUUAUCUUAUCUGAAGGAUACGAAGAUUCUCUCUCCAUUUUCUCUCUCUAAAAUUUUCUCUCUCUUCAUGAAUUUUCUCUCUCUAGAAGUCUUAUGGAUCAGUGGAGAAUCCUGAUACAUAGACAAAUCCUAAUUUUGGUUAAU